UACGUAGGGUGCAAGCGUUAAUCGGAAUUACUGGGCGUAAAGCGUGCGCAGGCGGUUGUGCAAGACAGAUGUGAAAUCCCCGGGCUCAACCUGGGAAUUGCAUUUGUGACUGCACGGCUAGAGUGUGUCAGAGGGGGGUAGAAUUCCACGUGUAGCAGUGAAAUGCGUAGAGAUGUGGAGGAAUACCGAUGGCGAAGGCAGCCCCCUGGGAUAACACUGACGCUCAUGCACGAAGCGUGGGGAGCAAACAGGA
rnacentral:rRNA from 1 species